GCCAGCCACCAGGUCAGACAUGCUGAAUCUUUCCCGGUGGAUUGGCUGCAACACACAAUGUCUGUCUGCGUCAAAUGUGGAACUGGAGGUAGCUCCUCCCCCAUUAGGAUCUGAUGAAAUCCAGACAGAGAAAGUUCUGACAGGGACCCCGCCCACGGGAUGAUGUCACCCACACUCAGGAGCCCCUGCCCACGGGAUGACUGUGGGGGCCCACAGAAGUGGAUCCAUUUCACCUUGACUAAAGGUCAGAUAGUUCAGGCCUAGUCUUGCUCUUUCAAGGUUAUUGACAGAAGAUUUAACUUAAGGUGUGGCUACUAACAGGAAGUCUUGGCCUAGGGUGUGGUUAUUUGGUGUUUUGGGUUUUAAGAUGGUAAUCAUUUUGCUCCUUGUAACAAGAUAAAAAAAGUCUUUCGCUUUCUUCCCCUCUAGUGGAUUGGGGUGUUUAAAGAUCAUAAGAAAUAAA